UCCAGUACAGUAACAGAGCUCAUUAUAACAAGAACGUACACUUUUUUGAGAAAUAAAAUAAUGAACUUAGUAUUUCUUGUGAACUGCAGUAUAAUUUGUGAAAAACAAAAGAAACCAGUUCCAGUUAUUAUCUGGCGUCCACCUUGGUCGUUAGCUGCCUCUAAAAAGUAGUGAUUUAAUUUGUGGACAACUUAUUGCUAAUUUAGUUGUCACCCGAAACACGAUGGAUCAAACUAAUAGGAUGAACCAGUGUGAAGAACCUUUAACGACCAUCACCCUGCCUGUUACAAAGGACCUAAAAAUGGGCUCAAAAGCACUGGAUUUGAUAAUGUUCUGGUUCCGGGUAAUCCUAUACCUUAUGUCCGGGCUACUGUAUGUCAUCGCGUUCUUUGGUCUGGAGGUCAUGAAGGGUGUUCAUAGAGGCUCCCAUGGAAAUUUCAAACGAGCUUAUUGAAGUCUAUGAGGCCUGGCGUAACUCAAAGCAAAAUUGUGAAAAAGGAGUGAACUGGUGGGUGAAGUUUGUUGAUGUUCUGUUGAGUGCACUUGCCUUGUGCCUCGUCAUCGUAUUGAUACUUUUACCUGAAGAUGGCUGGACAUACUGUGUUAUUGUUGCUAGGUUACUCUUAGUCAUCAUUAAACUGAUCAGUUUGUAUAGGAAAAACCGUAACUGUCAAUGGACGGUUGCAUCUAUUAGUGAAUCUUCGAUUGAAGUCACGGAAGUUCUCACGGUUCUGAUUAAACUGUGGUGGUGUUGGCCAGUUGGAGAACAAGUGAUAUCCCUGCUUAAUGGAAUAUCUAAGUGGUUCUGGUGUGCAGCGACUGUCGUUCCAAAAAUAAAACAAGUGCUUCAAAAAAAUCGCUGCGAAGAAUACAAUAUGGAGGAUAUAGUUUAGGGUUGUAUGAAUCAAUAAAUGUUCAUUUUUGUGUAAA